rnacentral:rRNA from 1 species
CAGCAGCCGCGGUAAUACGUAGGGUGCAAGCGUUAAUCGGAAUUACUGGGCGUAAAGCGUGCGCAGGCGGUUCGGAAAGAAAGGUGUGAAAUCCCAGGGCUUAACCUUGGAACUGCACUUUUAACUACCGGGCUAGAGUACGUCAGAGGGGGGUAGAAUUCCACGUGUAGCAGUGAAAUGCGUAGAGAUGUGGAGGAAUACCGAUGGCGAAGGCAGCCCCCUGGGAUGAUACUGACGCUCAUGC